rnacentral:rRNA from 1 species
GCAGUCGAACGAGUUCUGAUUAUUGAAAGGUGCUUGCAUCUUGAUUUAAUUUUGAACGAGUGGCGGACGGGUGAGUAACACGUGGGUAACCUGCCCUUAAGUGGGGGAUAACAUUUGGAAACAGAUGCUAAUACCGCAUAAAUCCAAGAACCGCAUGGUUCUUGGCUGAAAGAUGGCGUAAGCUAUCGCUUUUGGAUGGACCCGCGGCGUAUUAGCUAGUUGGUGAGGUAACGGCUCACCAAGGCAAUGAUACGUAGCCGAACUGAGAGGUUGAUCGGCCACAUUGGGACUGAGACACGGCCCAAACUCCUACGGGAGGCAGCAGUAGGGAAUCUUCCACAAUGGACGCAAGUCUGAUGGAGCAACGCCGCGUGAGUGAAGAAGGCUUUCGGGUCGUAAAACUCUGUUGUUGGAGAAGAAUGGUCGGCAGAGUAACUGUUGUCGGCGUGACGGUAUCCAACCAGAAAGCCACGGCUAACUACGUGCCAGCAGCCGCGGUAAUACGUAGGUGGCAAGCGUUAUCCGGAUUUAUUGGGCGUAAAGCGAGCGCAGGCGGUUUUUUAAGUCUGAUGUGAAAGCCCUCGGCUUAACCGAGGAAGUGCAUCGGAAACUGGGAAACUUGAGUGCAGAAGAGGACAGUGGAACUCCAUGUGUAGCGGUGAAAUGCGUAGAUAUAUGGAAGAACACCAGUGGCGAAGGCGGCUGUCUGGUCUGUAACUGACGCUGAGGCUCGAAAGCAUGGGUAGCGAACAGGAUUAGAUACCCUGGUAGUCCAUGCCGUAAACGAUGAAUGCUAGGUGUUGGAGGGUUUCCGCCCUUCAGUGCCGCAGCUAACGCAUUAAGCAUUCCGCCUGGGGAGUACGACCGCAAGGUUGAAACUCAAAGGAAUUGACGGGGGCCCGCACAAGCGGUGGAGCAUGUGGUUUAAUUCGAAGCAACGCGAAGAACCUUACCAGGUCUUGACAUCUUUUGAUCACCUGAGAGAUCAGGUUUCCCCUUCGGGGGCAAAAUGACAGGUGGUGCAUGGUUGUCGUCAGCUCGUGUCGUGAGAUGUUGGGUUAAGUCCCGCAACGAGCGCAACCCUUAUGACUAGUUGCCAGCAUUUAGUUGGGCACUCUAGUAAGACUGCCGGUGACAAACCGGAGGAAGGUGGGGAUGACGUCAAAUCAUCAUGCCCCUUAUGACCUGGGCUACACACGUGCUACAAUGGAUGGUACAACGAGUUGCGAGACCGCGAGGUCAAGCUAAUCUCUUAAAGCCAUUCUCAGUUCGGACUGUAGGCUGCAACUCGCCUACACGAAGUCGGAAUCGCUAGUAAUCGCGGAUCAGCACGCCGCGGUGAAUACGUUCCCGGGCCUUGUACACACCGCCCGUCACACCAUGAGAGUUUGUAACACCCGAAGCCGGUGGCGUAACCCUUUUAGGGAGCGAGCCG